UACGGGGGGGGCAAGCGUUGUUCGGAAUUACUGGGCGUAAAGGGCGCGUAGGCGGUCCGCUAAGUUGAAUGUGAAAACUCUGGGCUUAACCCAGAGCCUGCAUUCAAUACUGGCAGGCUAGAGUUCUGGAGGGGAUAGCGGAAUUCCUGGUGUAGCGGUGAAAUGCGUAGAUAUCAGGAGGAACACCGGUGGCGAAGGCGGCUGUCUGGACAGAGUCUGACGCUGAGGCGCGAAAGCUAGGGGAGCAAACAGG
rnacentral:rRNA from 1 species